CUCUCUGCUCCCAGACGUUAAGAGGCCAGAGGUGAUCAGCGGCUGUCCAGACCUUUCAGAGCCACUGACACGCCGGCAGCACAAUGAUGAUGUCACUGACUCUACUGCUGGCCACCCUGGGGCUCCUUGUUCAGGGUUCAUCAGGAGAAAUCCUCCUGACUCAGUCUCCUGGAUCUCUGUCUGUUGUUCCAGGACAGACUCUUUCCAUCAAAUGUACAGCCAGUACAAGUAUUAGUUCAUACCUUCACUGGUACCUUCAGAAACCUGGAGAAGCUCCUAAACUCUUGGUAUAUCGUGCUACAUCUCUUCAAUCUGGAGUUUCAAAUCGUUUCAGUGGAAGUGGAUCUGGGACUGUCUUCACUCUGACCGUCACUGGAGUUCAGACUGUAGAUGCAGGAGAUUAUUAUUGUCAGCAGAGUAGCAGCCGGCCGUUCACACAGUGAUACAACGUCGUACAAAAACCUCCUCAAAUAAAGAGGAAGUGAUCUGAAUGAACAGCUGCAUUGAAAAAAGAAAAAAAAUAUAUCUUUGAUUAAGAUACAAUUUUAAACUAAUAACAAAAUAACACUUUCAGCAUGCAAACA